rnacentral:rRNA from 1 species
CAGCAGCCGCGGUAAUACGGAGGGAGCUAGCGUUGUUCGGAAUUACUGGGCGUAAAGCGCGCGUAGGCGGUUACUCAAGUCAGAGGUGAAAGCCCGGGGCUCAACCCCGGAACUGCCUUUGAAACUAGGUGACUAGAAUCUUGGAGAGGUCAGUGGAAUUCCGAGUGUAGAGGUGAAAUUCGUAGAUAUUCGGAAGAACACCAGUGGCGAAGGCGACUGAUUGGACAAGUAUUGACGCUGAGGUGCGAAAGCGUGGGGAGCAAACAGGAUUAGAUACCCCAGUAGUCCCUGUCUCUUAUAC